UAAUGCAUUAAAUUAUUGAAGG
rnacentral:miRNA from 1 species